UACGGAGGGGGCUAGCGUUGUUCGGAAUUACUGGGCGUAAAGCGCACGUAGGCGGCUUUGUAAGUUAGAGGUGAAAGCCCAGGGCUUAACCCUGGAAUUGCCUUUAAGACUGCAUCGCUAGAAUCGUGGAGAGGUGAGUGGAAUUCCGAGUGUAGAGGUGAAAUUCGUAGAUAUUCGGAAGAACACCAGUGGCGAAGGCGACUCACUGGACACGUAUUGACGCUGAGGUGCGAAAUCGUGGGGAGCAAACAGG
rnacentral:rRNA from 1 species